AACGAACGCUGGCGGCAGGCUUAACACAUGCAAGUCGAACGCCCCGCAAGGGGAGUGGCAGACGGGUGAGUAACGCGUGGGCAUCUACCCAUCCCUACGGAAUAACGCAUGGAAACGUGUGCUAAUACCGUAUACGCCCUACGGGGGAAAGAUUUAUCGGGGAUGGAUGAGCCCGCAUUGGAUUAGCUAGUUCGUGGGGUAAAGGCCUACCAAGGCGACGAUCCAUAGCUGGUCUGAGAGGAUGAUCAGCCACAUUGGGACUGAGACACGGCCCAAACUCCUACGGGAGGCAGCAGUGGGGAAUAUUGGACAAUGGGCGCAAGCCUGAUCCAGCCAUGCCGCGUGAGUGAUGAAGGCCUUAGGGUUGUAAAGCUCUUUCACCGGAGAAGAUAAUGACGGUAUCCGGAGAAGAAGCCCCGGCUAACUUCGUG
rnacentral:rRNA from 1 species